rnacentral:lncRNA from 1 species
CUUAUAUAUAUAUAUAUUCAAAUUUUUAAUUUAAAAACCAAAUUGAUGUCAUCCUUUAGGGAAGAGAAACUCACCAAUAAAUACAGCAAAAUCUUGCUGGUCUGAAGGUUAAUCUCCCAUAUGCGAGGGAGAAAAAAAAAUCCAAAAACUGAUAAAGAAAUGGGGCUCAAUUCAGUUUAGUACUUGUAAAAGUCCGUGCUGCAAGUCCCAUUCAGCUCCACUCAGUGACCAAUCACAAAAAUGGCAGUUUCCCUGGUCUGUUCUUGAGGAGUGGCUCUACAGGGUCACUUGGAUAAUCUCUACGAACUCUCUUCCAGAGAAGUUUUGCCUCUGAAUUUAAUCUGUGGCUGUGAUUUCCUUGCAAAUGAUGUCCUGCUAAUGAAGACAUCAUUUUGCCAUCCCAGAAGAUUGGGGGGGGGGGGAAGAGUUUGGACACAUUUUCUAAAUCAGGGAUCUCCAACUUUGGCAACUUUUAAGACUUGUGGACUUCAACUUCCAGAAUUCUGGGAGUUCAAGUUGCUAAAGUUGGAGAACCCUGCUCUAAAUCAUCCCCGUUUGAGGCACACCGAUUCAAAAAUUCUUGCCUUAGGACGCACUGUUUUGCCCCAUUGGAGUUUACAAACGGACAUGAGAAUUUUAAUGUCAUACAGGUAGGUAAAAGCUUCUGUUGAAGCUUGCAUUUAUUUUAAUCAAGCAGCAGAUCUGAAGGAAAGAUCCACUUUAAAAAGGAGAAAAGCAUUCACUGUAAGUGGCUGUUCUAAACCACAUGGUAAACUCUAUUAAAAGUAGCACUGAUGAUGCUGACAGAUGAGGCACACCCAAAGCAUUGAGAAUGAGAUUCUAACCGUUUGACUCAUUUGAUGUGUGGGGGAGGAACUACUUUAUUUUCAGUGGGUUGAUUAUAUUUUUAACUUGUUCCAGUUGGCCUCCAUGUCCCUUGACACUCAAGAACAGUUGAGGAAACAAUUCACAAGCUACCUCAAAUUUCAUGACAAAACACAUAAAGCUUUUUGGAAGAGAUGGAAUUUGAAGGAACAAAGAAGAAAAAAAGGAAAGGAGCAAUCUUGCUUGUAGCAAAUUUCCUUGUUUUUAUGUUUCUUUUCUUAAUCAUUCAAGGGCGAGAAAUCACUGGCACAUGCCUAGAACAUAUAGCUACCCCAAAUAAAAAUUUUUCUUUGGUGGUUCGUUGGAUGUGUAAUUAUUUCUGGGGUUCAUGUUCUUUCCAUUACUGAAGUAUGGG